rnacentral:misc_RNA from 1 species
GAUGAAGAACGUAGCAAAAUGCGAUACUUGGUGUGAAUUGCAGAAUCCCGUGAACCAUCGAGUCUUUGAACGCAAGUUGCGCCCGAAGCCAUUAGGCCGAGGGCACGCCUGCCUGGGCGUCACACGUCGUUGCCCCCCCAUCUACUCCUUCGGGAUUGCGGGGGGCGGAUGAUGGCCUCCCGUGCGCCUCGUCGCGCGGUUGGCAUAAAUGCCAAGUCCUCGGCGACGCACGCCACGACAAUCGGUGGUUGCGAAACCUCGGUUGCCCGUCGUGUGCGGUCGUCGCGCAUCGAGGGCUCGAAAAAAUUGCCGAGCUCCGGCUCGGCUUUCAACGCGACCCCAGGUCAGGCGGGGUUACCCGCUGAAUUUUAGCAUAUCAAUAAGCGGAGGA